rnacentral:rRNA from 1 species
AUUGAACGCUGGCGGCAGGCCUAACACAUGCAAGUCGAGCGGAUGAAGGGAGCUUGCUCCUGGAUUCAGCGGCGGACGGGUGAGUAAUGCCUAGGAAUCUGCCUGGUAGUGGGGGAUAACGUCCGGAAACGGGCGCUAAUACCGCAUACGUCCUGAGGGAGAAAGUGGGGGAUCUUCGGACCUCACGCUAUCAGAUGAGCAUAGGUCGGAUUAGCUAGUUGGUGGGGUAAAGGCCUACCAAGGCGACGAUCCGUAACUGGUCUGAGAGGAUGAUCAGUCACACUGGAACUGAGACACGGUCCAGACUCCUACGGGAGGCCGCAGUGGGGAAUAUUGGACAAAGGGCGAAAGCCUGAUCCAGCCCUGCCGCGUGUGUGAAGAAGGUCUUCGGAUUGUAAAGCACUUUAAGUUGGGAGGAAGGGCAGUAAGUUAAUACCUUGCUGUUUUGACGUUACCAACAGAAUAAGCACCGGCUAACUUCGUG